AACGCUAGCUACAGGCUUAACACAUGCAAGUCGAGGGGCAGCAUUGGAGUAGCAAUACUUCAGAUGGCGACCGGCGCACGGGUGAGUAACACGUAUCCAACCUGCCGCUUACUCGGGGAUAGCCUUUCGAAAGAAAGAUUAAUACCCGAUGGUAUAAAGAGUUCGCAUGUUCUCUUUAUUAAAGAAUUUCGGUAAGCGAUGGGGAUGCGUUCCAUUAGAUAGUUGGCGGGGUAACGGCCCACCAAGUCUACGAUGGAUAGGGGUUCUGAGAGGAAGGUCCCCCACAUUGGAACUGAGACACGGUCCAAACUCCUACGGGAGGCAGCAGUGAGGAAUAUUGGUCAAUGGACGCGAGUCUGAACCAGCCAAGUAGCGUGAAGGAUGACUGCCCUAUGGGUUGUAAACUUCUUUUAUAAGGGAAUAAAGUGAGGGACGUGUCCCUUUUUGUAUGUACCUUAUGAAUAAGGAUCGGCUAACUCCGUGCCAGCAGCCGCGGUAAUACGGAGGAUCCAAGCGUUAUCCGGAUUUAUUGGGUUUAAAGAGAGCGUAGGUUGACAUAUAAGUCAGCUGUGAAAGUUUACGGCUCAACCGUGAAAUUGCAGUUGAUACUGUAUGCCUUGAGUGUACAAGAGGUGGGCGGAAUUCGUGGUGUAGCGGUGAAAUGCUUAGAUAUCACGAAGAACUCCGAUUG
rnacentral:rRNA from 1 species